rnacentral:lncRNA from 1 species
UGCCGAACAGCACAGCGCAGCGUCGCGCAGCCCGCCUGGAGCCCCCUCCCUCCCUCCUCCCUCCCUCCUUCCAUCCAUCCCUCCCUCUCUCCUCCUCCUCCCUCGCUCCCGCCCGCCCGCCCGCCGCUCUGAAGGAUGCCCGGUAAGUAGCGACGAGGACCGGCACCUCUGCCGGUGCGCGAUGUGAGGGGUUAGGGACUGCUUAUACCGCUGCCGCCCGCCGGGGGGGCGCAGGGCGGGGGGGCGAGGGGAGGGGAGGUGACAGCGAUCCGAGGCAGGAGACGGCGGGGCUCGCCGGGUGCUCCUCAGAAGGACUUUUAGCUGCGUGGCCGGGGCUUGGAUGUGGGCGCCGAGGGACGGGGUCUGUGCACCGCAGCGGGCACCGGCCGGGGCGGGGGCGCUUCGCCUGCGCUGCGGGUUGCUGCCUGCAGCACCGCGGCUCAGCGAGUUGUACACCAUUUCAGCAGAGAUGUCUGAUCUUUCCAUCUGCAUACCUGGAGAUGCUUUAUUCCCUGAAUGGUCUUUUCAGUAACCACUAA